rnacentral:rRNA from 1 species
UAAGACGAACCGUGCGAACGUUGUUCGGAAUUAUUGGGCGUAAAGAGCUCGUAGGCGGUGUGUCGCGUCGGCCGUGAAAACCUGCAGCUUAACUGUGGGCUUGCGGUCGAUACGGGCAUCACUGGAGUUCGGCAGGGGAGACUGGGAUUCCUGGUGUAGCGGUGAAAUGCGCAGAUAUCAGGAGGAACACCGGUGGCGAAGGCGGGUCUCUGGGCCGAUACUGACGCUGAGGAGCGAAAGCGUGGGGAGCGAACA